rnacentral:rRNA from 1 species
ACAAACCUAAUUAAAAUGGCGGCAUUUUAUUUUACUAAAGGAACCUGUUUUUUAAUCGAUAACCCACGUUAAUUUUCACUUAAAUAUAUAAAUUUAUAUACCGCCGUUAUAAGAAUUAAUUUAAUAAUAUUAAUCUUAAAAAAAACUAACAAAUCAGGUAAAGGUGUAAUUAACUUUUAAGUUAAAAUGGGUUACAUUAAAAAAAAUUUAAGAAUUUAUAAACAAAAAUUUUUAAUAAAAUAGGAUUUAAAAGUAUUUAUUCAAUAAUAUUUUAUAAAG